UACGUAGGCAGCAAGCGUUGUUCGGAAUUACUGGGCGUAAAGGGUGCGUAGGCGGAUUUGUAAGUUGGGUGUGAAAUCUCCCGGCUCAACUCGGAGGGUGCGCUCCAAACUGGAGAGCUAGAGUGCAGGAGAGGAGAGCGGAAUUCCUAGUGUAGCGGUGAAAUGCGUAGAGAUGCGGAGGAACACCGGUGGUGGAGGCGGCUGUCUGGACUGUAACUGACGCUGAGGCACGAAAGCGUGGGGAGCAAACAGU
rnacentral:rRNA from 1 species